UGUUUCGCUUGACUGUUUGUAUUUCAAAUGAAAACGAUCGCUCAACAUUUUGCACUGAAUGGAAAUCCACCUUUAGUGAUAAAAAUUAUCGACAACUAACAAGCAACAGUCGAGAUAGUGCGCCCGGAUUCUGCCAAGUUGAACUCAAAAUUAUUCAUUUUAGUAUUUGACUGCCCUAUUAUAAUUAAUUCACCAUCUGAGAGAGUAACGGG